UACGUAGGGGGCAAGCGUUGUCCGGAUUUAUUGGGCGUAAAGCGCUCGCAGGUGGUUCAUUGCGUCGUGCGUGAAAGACCCCGGCUCAACUGGGGAGGGUCGUGCGAAACGGGUGAACUAGAGGUCAGUAGGGGGAUGCGGAAUUCCGGGUGUAGUGGUGGAAUGCGUAGAGAUCCGGAGGAACACCAGCGGCGAAGGCGGCAUCCUGGACUGGUCCUGACACUCAGGAGCGAAAGCGUGGGGAGCGAUCCGG
rnacentral:rRNA from 1 species